CCUGAUUCCUCUCUCUGUUUGGGUCUCUGGCAUGGUGCCUGCUGGAGAGUAGAUACUUGAUAAUUAUCUAUUGGGUUCUCAGGGGAUCUCUCAAAGGUGGUAUUCAGGCACCCACAAGGCAACUCCCAUCACAAGAAAGAAUGGUGGCCUGGGAGUGAGCUGUAAGGUUCCUUCAAACAUCAGUUCCUGAAGCCUCUUUUAUUCAUUAUUGUUGGGACUUGUUUUUAUUUCUGUUUCGUUCUACGUGACCCCAAAAUCUGUAUGUGAACACUAGGAACUUUAUCAUGGGCUGAGGUGUAUUUGAAGUAAACUCUUAACUAUGUCUCUGGGAUAUGAAAGGUGCUUACAUUCUCUGUUGGGAAUGUAGAGAGAAGGAUUUGCAGUGUGUGGCCCCUGGGAAUGUAGAGGCAUGAAUUUCUGUCUGUUUUCCUGCUGUUGAAAUCUGAGUGCUAGGAACGGACCUCUUGCUCUCAGAUUGGCCUUGAAGCUGAAGGGAACCUGUCCACCCUCUGCACAGGGCAAGAGCCACGCCAACAGGAGGAAGUUGGAGUGCAUCCUGGCACCUGCCAAUCGGAAGACUGACAAACAAAAAAUUAGUUUUUAAUUAAUUUAAAAAAUGAUCUUCCUACUUAUCAGACACAAUCACUUUUAAAUAUGAGCAGAAAAACGAACUCCAUAGCCAAAUGCAACAUUUUGUGUCAUACUGCUUUACAUCAUCUAUUCUACCUCCAUUCACUGGUCAAAGAAGCGCAGAGUUAAGUUGGCCAGUGUGGCGUGGACACAGCCAGGCGCAGACCCUCCUGCCAGCGAAGCCAGCGUGAGGUCUGUUGGCUCAGGGGUCCAGUCCCUGGGUCCCCGAAGAGGUAAGCCAAAGACAUAGUGAUACUUGGUUCAAUUCGGCUCCAGAGAGUAUCAGAUGGGAAAUAGAUGACUUGUUUUACCUGGUCAAAUAAGACAUCACUAAAAUCUACCAUGACUGGAAAUUACUUAAUGC
rnacentral:lncRNA from 10 species